GAUGAAGAACGUAGCGAAAUGCGAUAAGUAAUGUGAAUUGCAGAAUUCAGUGAAUCAUCGAAUCUUAGAACGCAUCUUGCGCUCCUUGGUAUUCUGAGGAGCAUGCCUGUUUGAGUGUCAUUAAAUUCUCAACUACACUGACUUUGAAUUGGUGUGGCUUGGAUUUGGGGGGAAAAUUGUUGUGGGCUUUUUGUAUAGUCUGCUCCCCUGAAAUUGAUUAGCGGUACCUUUGUGGAACUGUCUACAGGUGUGAUAAUUAUCUACAUCUUAGACAUCUGCUGGAAUGCUGCUUUCUAAACCUUACUUGUAUUGACAAUCUUGACCUCAAAUCAGGUAGGACUACCCGCUGAACUUAAGCAUAUCAAUAAGCGGAGGA
rnacentral:misc_RNA from 1 species